rnacentral:rRNA from 1 species
AACGAACGCUGGCGGCAUGCCUAACACAUGCAAGUCGAACGAGAUCUUCGGAUCUAGUGGCGCACGGGUGCGUAACGCGUGGGAAUCUGCCCCUUGCUUCGGAAUAACAGUGAGAAAUUACUGCUAAUACCGGAUGAUGUCUUCGGACCAAAGAUUUAUCGGCAAGGGAUGAGCCCGCGUAGGAUUAGGUAGUUGGUGGGGUAAUGGCCUACCAAGCCGACGAUCCUUAGCUGGUCUGAGAGGAUGAUCAGCCACACUGGGACUGAGACACGGCCCAGACUCCUACGGGAGGCAGCAGUGGGUAAUAUUGGACAAUGGGCGAAGGCCUGAUCCAGCAAUGCCGCGUGAGUGAUGAAGGCCUUAGGGUUGUAAAGCUCUUUUACCAGGGAUGAUAAUGACAGUACCUGGAGAAUAAGCUCCGGCUAACUCCGUG